CAACAUUAAUAGAUUAAAAUGAAAAUGUACUAUUAAACUCCUACAAGGAUCCAAAAAUUAAUAGUUUUCAGUCAAAUACCAGGGUAAAUGAUUUAGCUGAUAUCGAUUUAGGUCCUGCUAAACCUAUAUUACAAGUAACUUAAAAGAAGUAUGCGAACUAAUGGCAAGUAUAAUCCAACUUUGCUUUAAAUUAUGCAGAAUCAACAAAUCAUUCUAAUUGGUUAAUACAAAAUUAAAUUAUUGAGAUAUGCGUUAAGCAUGUAAGGAAUACUAUUGUUGAAGAUAUAAUAAACGCUGGAAUGUAUAGCAUUUUGUGGGACGAAGCACGAUUCCAGAAAGAAGAACAGUUAGCUGUGUGUGUUCGUUAUCUAAAAAAUCUUAAAGUAGAGGAACAAUUUGUUGGAUUUUUAGAUACAAAAUUAAUAUAAUAGUUUAAUCAUAUGGCGGUCCCAGUGUCAGAUGUUUUACAAAUUAUUCACAUUCGGAGUGCUCAAUUGCAAUAAAAAUCUGAUUGGAAAGUCAAGUUCAUUAGUGUGUGGUGCGAUUGAUACUCUGAAAAAUAAUCGUACAGAUGAAUAUUUUGAUACUCUGUGGAAUGAAAUUACUAUAUUUUGUGAAGAACAACAUUGGAUAAGGUGUCUCUAAACGUCGCAGAAGGAAACCUCAAAUUUUCAAUAGUAUGCUGUAUUAUUAACUAGUUCAGCUAUCGAGUGUAGCUAAAGAAGACCAUGUACUAAUGCGUACUUCAAUUAAUACAAAUUAUUGGAUAAUGUAUUGUUUUUAUCCUAUACUUGAUACUAUUAUUAUCAAUAUGGAAAAACAAUUUUAACCAGAAAGUAUGGAAAUAGCCCAAACUGUAGACAACUUUUUGAAAUUAAACUUUAAUGGAAGUAUACGAAUCAUUAACCUCUAGGUAAUUAUUAUUAGGAGCAUUUUUUUUAUAAAUUCUUAAUAUAAUAUUAAUUUAUAAUGUAUUUACAUCGAUAAAUUAUGCUAAACAGUGUUAUUAAAUGUUUGUAUCUACUU